rnacentral:lncRNA from 1 species
GGCGUGCUAUGGCAGCCCCGAGGGGCAGCCCAGACCCAGGGGAGAAGGACAAAGUCCGGGCAGGAAUCAAACAUCUGGAUCCAGAUGUGCAGACUUCAUCUGAAGGACACAGAGGGGUUGGACUUGAGAUCAGCUGGCUUCCAAAAUCCUCUCAUUUGCAACAGUUACUUUAUCCUCCCUGUGCACAGUGAUACAGUGUAACAGAGGAGCUCUUGUCUUCAGUCUCACCUUUGGAUGUUCAUUGCCAGUUCCUCCAGGCUUCCAGGGCAGCCUCUUCAGCGCAGACUCUUUGGCUCUGUGAGACAGACUCACACAGACUCUGCAGUGAGCCUUCGAACUUCAAUUGGAUCCCUGGAUCUCCAGAGCUCAGUUGACCACUUUGCAUUCUUCCAUCCCUGAGGCCACAAACAGUCAUUGUAAGUCUACCUAGUG